rnacentral:tRNA from 1 species
GCGCAGGUGGUGUAACGGGCUAGCAUGCUGCUCGCAAAACAGAUGAGCGCGGGUUCGAGUCCUGCCCGGCACA